rnacentral:lncRNA from 1 species
UUUGGUAGCCCGUUGGAAUAAUGUUGAUAGAGAGAGAUAGGAUUGGAAUACUAUUGAUAGUAUUUGGCCUUUUUUGCUAUUAAAUUUUUAAUUUUUGGAUAAGAAAUUAUAGAGUUAUAAUGAUAUUAGUCUCUGAGGGUUGAGUAGUUCUCUGAUUAGGAUUGUGUGGUCUCUACUAGAUUAUAAUAUUUAAUCUCAUAGUUAGAAAUGAUCAAAAAAAAUUGAUCUAAAGACUAAAAAUUUAAUAGCAAAAAAGGACAAAUAUUAUUAAUAGGAUUCUAGCCGAAUUCUCUCUCUCUCUCUCUCUCUCUCUCUCUCUCUAUAUAAAGAGAGAGAGAGUAGGGCUACUAUACUCUUAUGAGAAGAGCGCCCUUCGUACUCAUAAGUCUCUCUCUAUAUAUAUAGAGAGAGAGUAGUGAUAGAUUUUAUAGGUAUGUAAAACAAAACCGAAAAUAAAUACAUACCAAAAUGCAGGAUCAAAAUUAAUAAUAAGAUAACUCACAGAGCGCCAUGGAGAAGAAAUUCUUGAUCAAUCUUGCGGAAGCGUGAAGUCCGGCUAUGGUCUGAAAGUCACGAACCGAACUUGGGUGAUUUGGUUUCUCCCCCUAUCUCAUGCACUCUGCCGUAUGGUGUGAAACCGAUAGUAAUUCUUCACCAGAAUGCGUAUGAGAAGGUGGCAGGACCAAUACCCCUUUAUAUAGAGUCCAAAUCGACUUCUCAUCAAAGUCUGAUUAGGAUUCUAUUUAAAUUUAAAAUAGAUGGGAUAGGGAUAAAAUAUACCAUAUCAAGUAGUUCUAUAUCUAUUAGGAUUGACCUUUAUCUAUAGUAAAUCCUAAUUUAAAUAUGAUUAAUUGGGCCACAAUAUAUGGAAAUCCUAACAAUCUCCCACUUGGCUCAUAUUAAUCAUAUUUCAUUAAUGGAUUUUCUAUCUUCCAAACUUUAUUGCGCAUUGUAGGAAACUUUAUGGUCAAAUACCUUAGAACUCACUUGAUCUUUAGCUCAAACUAAAAGACUACAAUGAUAGGAACUAUGGCGGUCCACCUCUUCAUAACGAAAUUUUCCUUCCAUAAUUACCGUAUCAUCUUCACCUCUUAGCCGAGUACUUUAUAUGACACAACUUUAUGAAUGAACUUAAACUGUAUAUUCAUCCAUUAAUAAGCGAAGCUUUAUGCCUAUUAAAAGGUCCAACACAGCUGCAUUAAACUUUAACUUUAUUGAAAGAAAAUAAGUAUUAAAAUUUUAUACAUCGAAAGAACUAAUCAAACCCAUAUUUCUAACAUGAUCCGUAUAUGACCCAGGUGCCAGCCCCUUGGUCAUUGGGUCUGCAAUCAUACACUUGGUACUGAUGUAUUCAAUUGUAAUAUAACCUUCAUCUAUCUUCUCUCUCACAACAAGAAAUUUAGUGUCCAAGUGUUUACACCCCGCUGUAAUCUUGUUGUUAUUGGCAAAGGAAACCGCAGCUGAACUAUCACAGAAAAUCUUUAUUGGACGAGCAAUGGAGUCCACAAUUCUUAAGUCUGUGAUAAAAUUCCUAAGCCAAAUAGCCUGUGAUGUGGUCUCGUAACAUGCAAUGUACUCUGCAGCCAUGGUCGAAGGAGCAGUAACACUUUGUUUGCUACUCUUCCAUGAUAUCGCUCCACCAGCAAGCAGAAAAAUAUAUCCAGUCGUAGACUUUCUGGUAUCUGGGCAUCCAGCAAAAUCAGAGUCCGAGUACCCGAUCAGCUCCAAGUGAUCCGAUCUCCUGUAAAUCAGCAUAUGAUCCAAAGUUCCUUUCAAAUACCUCAUAACCUUCUUAGCAGCCUUCCAAUGCUCCAUACCUGGAUUAUUUUGAUACCUGCCAAGUAAUCCAACGGCAAAAGCAAUAUCCGGACGUGUGCACGUCUGUGCAUACAUAAGACUACCAACUGCAGAGGCAUAAGGUAUACUUUUCAUCUGUUCAAUUUCUAAUUGGUUCUUGGGACACUGAAAAGCAUUAAGCUUAUCCCCUUUCUGGACAGGAGCAACACUGGGCUUACAAUUAUGCAUUUCAAAAUUUUCCAAAACUUUCUUUAUGUCGGCCUUUUGAGACAGACCGAGUAAACCUUUAUGUCUAUCUCUUUUGAUUUCAAUACCAAGAACAUAUGAGGCCUCACCUAAAUCUUUCAUUUCAAAAUUUUGGAAAAGAAAUUCUUUAGUGUUAUGCAAUAGCCCAAGAUCAUUACUGGCAAGCAAAAUAUCAUCAACAUAAAGGACUAAGAAAAUUACUUUACUCCCACUAACCUUUAAAUAAAUACAUUGAUCAACAAUAUUUUCCUUAAAACCAAAGGUUAAAAUAGUUUGUUUAAAUUUUAAAUACCAUUGUCGGGAGGCCUGCUUUAGUCCAUAUAUUGAUUUCUUUAAUUUGCAUACCAAAUGCUCCUUUCCCUUUUGCGAGAAUCCUUCAGGUUGAUUCAUAUACACCUCUUCAUAGAGAUCCCCAUUUAAAAAGGCAGUUUUGACAUCCAUCUGGUGUAGCUCGAGAUCAAAAUGAGCAACCAGAGCCAUAAUAAUACGAAAAGAUUCCUUUCUAGAUACUGGAGAAAAAGUCUCUUUAUAGUCAAUGCCUUCUUUCUGAGUAAACCCUUUUGCCACAAGACGGGCCUUGUAUCUUUCUAUGUUACCUUUGGAGUCCCAUUUAAUUUUAUAAACCCAUUUGCAUCCUACGGGUUUCACUCCAAUAUGUAACUCAACAAGAUCCCAUACCUUAUUGUGGUUCAUGGAUUCAAUCUCAUCAUUCAUGGCAUUGUACCAUUCCGUAGAAUUACUGCUAUUUAUGGCUUCGGAAAAACUAAGAGGAUCAUCCAAACUCUGACCAUUCUCAUAAAGAUAGAUAAUAUAAUCACUGGAUAUAGCCGGUCUUCUCUGUCUUGAGGAUCUUCUUAAAUCUAUCUGAUUAUCCACACGUAUAUCUUGAUGUGGAUUAUUCACUUGUACAUCUUGAUGUAAAUUAUCCACUUGUACAUCUUGAUGUGAAUUAUCAAUGAUAGGUUCACAAUCAUUUUGUGGUUCCAAAACAACUUGUUGUUCUACUGAAAUAGGAACCAACAAAUCGUGAGGGACAACAGUGGGUCUAUCAUGUACAGAAUCCGAAUGCUCCUGAAUUUCCUCAAAUUCAAUGAAUCGAGGUUCAGAGCUCCCACUAAUUGUACCAUCCUCAAUAAACCGUGCUGUUUUAGUUUCUGCAAUCUUUAUAGGAAGUGAUGGACAGUAAAAUUUAUACCCUUUGGACCUUUCUGAAUAACCAAUAAAAUAUCCUGAUAUGGUUCGAGGAUCCAGUUUCUUUAUUUGUGGAUCAUACAAUUUGGCCUCAGCUUGACAACCCCAUGUAUGAAAAUGUCUUAAACUGGGUUUCCUACCUGUCCAAAGCUCAAAAGGAGUCUUAGUGACAGCCUUAGUAGGAACCCGAUUAAGAAUAUAUAGGGCAGUUUUGAGUGCCUCACUCCACAAUGAUAUUGGAAGGGUAGAAUUACUGAUCAUACUCCUGAGCAUAUCAAUUAAUGUGCGGUUUCUUCUUUCAGCAACACCAUUCUGAUCAGGUGUCCCUGGCAUGGUGUACUGUGGAACAAUUCCGCACUGCUCCAGAAACUUAGCAAAAGGCCCAGGGAUUUGGCCUUUAUCUGUUUGUCUACCAAAAUAUUCACCACCCCUAUCUGAUCUGACUACUUUUAUCCUUUUCUCGAGUUGAUUCUCUACUUCAGCCUUAUAUGCCUUAAAGGCAUCUAAUGCUUCAGAUUUUUCUUUAAGUAAGUAGAGAUAGCCAUAUCGAGAGUAGUCAUCAGUAAAUGUGAUAAAAUAUUUAUGGCCAGUAAUUGAAAUAGGAAGAGGUCCGCAUAUAUCGGUAUGAAUCAACUCUAAUGUUCCAUCACAUCUUUUAGCACCUUUAGAGGAAGUUUUGGUCUGCUUUCCCUUUAUGCAGUCCACACAUAUUCCAAAGUCAGAGAAGUCCAAAUCAUCUAAAAUGCCUUCUCUAAUUAACCUUUGGAUUCUCUGUUUCGAGAUGUGUCCUAACCUCUUAUGCCAUAACAUGGAUGACCUUUCAUUAUUAAUGCCACGUUUUGAUCCAACAUUUCCGUGCAUGGUAAGAAGGAUUUCACUAAAUGAAUCAUCUAAAAAUACUUUAUAUAGAUUAUUUUCCAAAACACCAGAGCCAACUAUCUGAGAUUUAUAAGAUAAAGAAAAAACUUUAUUAUUAAAACUGAAACUAUAUCCCAAUCCAACAAGUUUCGAAAUAGAAAUUAAAUUCUUAGAAAAAUUUGGAACAUAAAAUGUAUCAACUAAAUCCAAAAUGUGACCAGUAGAAAGAACUAAUCUAAAUGUUCCUACAAAUUCUACUUUAGUUGGAUUUCCUUCAGCUGUAUAGAUAGUCGCUUCAUCUUUACUGGGUUUUCUCCGAUUCUGAAAUCCCUGCACGGAAUUCGCCACGUGACAUGUGGCACCAGAGUCAAUCCACCAAGUAUUAGACGGAACUGAAACUAAAUGCAACUCAUGCAUCAAAACCAGAAAUUUACCUUUCUUCUGGAGCCAUUUCUGAUAUUUUUGGCAGUCCUUCUUUAUAUGACCCUUUUUCUUACAAAAGAAGCACUUGGGAGUCCAAUUACUUGAUUGGCCUUGUGAACCAGAUGGAACUUCCUUAUUCUUUCUUUUUGAGUCAUUCUUGCCCUUGCCAUUCUUUGCACGCUUUAUUUGUCUCUUUUGAGAAACAAAGUUGACUGCAUUUUGUUUCUCUUGUAUUAAUCUGCCUUCCUCUUGCACACACAUGGUCAGCAGUUCAUUAAUUGACCAUUUAUCUUUAUGUGUAUUAUAAGAGAUCUGAAAUGGUCCGUAUUCAGAUGGCAAAGAAUUCAAAAUAAAGUGCACUAAGAAUGAAUCAGAGAUGGUUACUUCAAGUGCGGUGAGUUGCGCUGCAAUAUCUCGCAUUUCCAUAAUAUGCUCGCGAAUCGAGCCAUUUCCGGAGUACUUCAUGGAAGACAGUUUAUUCAUUAAGGUGCUCGCCAAGGCUUUAUCGGAGCUGACAAACUGCUCCUCAAUAGCCUUUAGAUAAUCCUUGGCUUUAUUACAUUCUGGGAUUGAUCCCCUUAUGCUUUUUGAUACCCUUGACUUUAUGAGCAUCAAACUUAAGCGGUUGGAUCGCUCCCACUUUUCCUGCGCGGAUUCCUGCUGUGGAGUCAUUGGCCCCACUACCUUAGGCGGUUGUUCAGCGCGCAGAGCCAAAUCUAAAUCCAUAUAACCCAAAAUGAACAUGAUCUGUUCUUUCCACUCCGAAUAAUUAGAACCAUUAAGUAUAGGAACAGAUUCACCAAUAGGAACAGAAAAUGGAGUCAUAGCUGAAAAAUAAAAUGCAUGUUUUAUCAAUAAAAUACCACAUCAAAAUUACCACACCAAAAUUAGAGAAAUACACUUUAUAUGAUAUCACAACCCCUCCUUUGGGAGCAGAGUUAUGAGCAUAAGUAUUUUUCGUUCUUUAUGCAUAUACUUUAUAUGACAUCACAACCCCUCCUUUGGGAGCAGAGUUAUGAGCAUAAAUAUGCAAUCUCUUUGUUAGAGAUUAAUUUAAACUUUCUGUAGGUCGUGAUAAUCUCAAAUUUCUCAUAUGAAGAAAUUGUCAGCUUUGGCCAGGUAAAUUUCUCCAAACGAGUUAUAAGAAAAUUACCAUCCUACACCACCCAUUUACCUUCAUGUCUAGACCUCCUUUGGGAGCAGACUAAACAUAAUAUUAGGGUGCAAUUUCUCAAUGCACAUCUUUAAAGCAAUUAAUUUAUCUUUUCUUCCGGUCGGGGCCGCUUUGGCUUGCACCCGAACAGUUGAAACAAUAAAUUAAUCUGACUUAGUGCUGCAUGAUUGACAUGAAAAUUAUCCGAAAGCGCUACUUUAAAGUAAAUUAAAUUAUUAUUUCUUUUAAUUAGGGCCGCUUUGGCUUGCACCUAACCUAUCGAAAUAAUAAAUUAAUUUAACUUAGCGCCAAAUAUUAAAUAAUCGAAAACAAUUAUGAUUAUUUAAUUUUCAUGUUUAUCCGGUCAAAACAAGAAUAUAGUUGCGAUAAUUUAAAACAUGAUAUCGCAAUCAAAUUUAAACUUUAUAUAUUCUAAUUCGACCACAAAAAAAAAGAUAAAUGACGUUAUGAUAAAUUAAAUAUUGUAUGCAAAAUAUAAUCCUUAUGUGAACGGAUUCUAUAUGUCCACAAUAAUUCCGUAUGCAUAAUGAUUUUGACGGGUCAAAAUCAGACGAAUUAAUAAACAGAUUAAGUAGAAAAAUCUUUACGGAUUCAGAACAAUUAAAGAUAAGAUCAUGCAAUUCCAGGCGUAACCUGUCGGAAUAAACCAGACUAACUGGUUUGAAAAGCAACGAUCAUUAAAAGAAAUAUAGCCACAAUCGCACAAUUACAUUGCCUCGGAUCCAGAAAGGCAUAAUCCAAAACCAUAAUCAUCAUUUUUUUAUUUUUUUUUUAUUUUUUAUUUUAAUUAACUCAGUUUCAACCAAACAAGACGUAGAAUCCAAAACAAUGAUUAGCCAUGCUGCUGCUGUGUCAUCGUUUUGCAAGGCCAUAACUAAACAAAAACAAGUGACCAAAAACGACUUCUUUAUUAUAUAGCUUCCCAAUUUUGAGAAGGAAGACGAUUGAUGGUUUGAAUAUGUAAACCAUGCGGUCCAGCAAGAUUGCCAGAACAAAAACGUACGACGUGGCAAUAUCCUAACAUAUAAGUUGAUCCCGAAAUCCAAGUCAAAAUUCAUCGUAACUUGAUGCAAUUACAUAAUGCAUACAAUAUUAAUAUUAUCGAACCAAUUGGCUCUGAUACCAAUUGAUAGAUUUUAUAGGUAUGUAAAACAAAACCGAAAAUAAAUACAUACCAAAAUGCAGGAUCAAAAUUAAUAAUAAGAUAACUCACAGAGCGCCAUGGAGAAGAAAUUCUUGAUCAAUCUUGCGGAAGCGUGAAGUCCGGCUAUGGUCUGAAAGUCACGAACCGAACUUGGGUGAUUUGGUUUCUCCCCCUAUCUCAUGCACUCUGCCGUAUGGUGUGAAACCGAUAGUAAUUCUUCACCAGAAUGCGUAUGAGAAGGUGGCAGGACCAAUACCCCUUUAUAUAGAGUCCAAAUCGACUUCUCAUCAAAGUCUGAUUAGGAUUCUAUUUAAAUUUAAAAUAGAUGGGAUAGGGAUAAAAUAUACCAUAUCAAGUAGUUCUAUAUCUAUUAGGAUUGACCUUUAUCUAUAGUAA